AAGGGCGAGUGAGGUGGAGCUGCGGGCGGGACGCUGGCCGUCUCUCCCCCCUUCCAGGCCGGCUCAGCUCGCUGCGGAGAAAGGCACGUGCUUCGCUCGGACUUCGGUGCAGUGCUGCAGGACACCAGCCUUGACACACUUCUCCCUUUCCUUGCUGUCCUUCACAUUGUGAAUAAGUGAACCUUUAGCCCUGCAAGCCUUGUACGCAAUUCAAAGUGCAAGAGCCAAUGCACUUGCCAUCAGAAGGACAGAGCAGGACAACUUGUGUUCUGAGGAUGUGAAGAUGUUUGGAGGUGUGAAGAUGGUCAGGAUGAGUCUGAGGACUGUCCUCUGGAAGCAUGUAGAAGAUCUGCAUUCCGGGCUGUCCCUCUCCUUUGGCAGCAUUGCUCCUGAAGUUGACUCUACAAAUGACUGGAAUUGCACACUUAUUCCCCAUCAUUUGCUCACAUCUCACCGCUGGCUGUGUUCAUGCUUUGAAGGAUCAUGGCAGCGCUGCCUUACUGCUCCAGCCUGGUUCAGAGGAAACACAGAAAAUGAAGAUUUCCCAUUGAAGAGAGAGAUGCUUUUCUAGCUUGGAUUUUUUUUCUGUUUUGUGCUGCACUUCUGAAGAAUUCAGGUGGCUGACACAAACAUAAAUCCUUUGGGAGGUCAUUUCCUGAGAAAGGGAGGACUGUGUGGUGGCACAUGUGAAAAUGAGUUGAGAGCAGAAUUAAGCCCUGAGGAAAAAUAUGUCUGCAUCCUGGCUUAACGAAAGUUUAUCACUGGGCAGCCAAUAGGUUGAAUUAAAUUAAGUUCAGGUGAGAAGGAACUAUGAGCAAGAGCGAAUGAAAAAGGUAAAGGAGUUGUUGCAGCUAAAAGAGAAAAAGAAGUGUUUUUUUCAUUAACAUAGGGAAAACUAACAGGAAGAACGCAUACCUGUGUACAUAUGUAUGUGUUGGGCAUAGAAGAAUUCACUAAGCCAUCUUUCUAGAAUAACUCUACUGCUAUCAAUGGGGUGGCCUUUUAAAAAUAAAUAAUUUUUUUUCUUUCACCUCUCAUCUCACUUUCAUUGCUGAAAACAACCAAGAGAUAACAGGGAAAACAGUCCUCCAGAAGACAACAAGAACAUUUCUGCUUCUCCCUCCACACACCCCCCUUCAAAUAUAAGUAGAUCCAUGUGUGAAGAAAAGAGAAAGUUCCUGGAGAAGAACAAAUAAAGUUUUAUUGCUAUGUAAGUACAAGAAUCCGGACUGUAUUGUUGAAGAAAUAUCUUUAUGAAAUGUCUUCUAGCUGGAUCUUUUAAGCUUAAUCUUUUAAAGCUUCUUCUUUUCAAAGAUGGUUCUUCCCUUUAAUGCUGGAUUUUGUUUUAAUAAUGCUGGAUUUAAUUUUUAUCAUGAAGUAAAAUGAUAUCUCAAAAAGA